UACAGAGGUGGCAAGCGUUGUUCGGAAUUACUGGGCGUAAAGGGCGAGUAGGUGGCCAUCUAAGUCAGACGUGAAAUCCCCCGGCUUAACCUGGGAACUGCGUCUGAUACUGGACGGCUAGAGUUUGGGAGAGGGAUGCAGAAUUCCAGGUGUAGCGGUGAAAUGCGUAGAUAUCUGGAGGAAUACCGGUGGCGAAGGCGGCAUCCUGGACCAUGACUGACGCUGAGGAGCGAAAGCCAGGGGAGCAAACGGG
rnacentral:rRNA from 1 species